AGGAACCACAAACAAGAAAAGCAAAGCAAGGCACCACAUUUCCUUCCUGCAGAGCUUGCUGUGACAUGGCAAGGGAGCAGCCACCCACAUCAGGACAUGCCAGUCCCACUGAGCUACUGCUUUUCUGAGGACAAACUGACAAGAAGCAGACCUGUCAAUGCAAUGGUGUCCCAGCUCCCAUUUUCCAGUACUAGGAAGAGUACAUGGGAGCUAAAGGGGAAGCUUCAGCCUGAACUUCAACAUAGGAGAGGGAGCUGCAGAAUGCAACACUGAAGGUUCUAUACUUAGUGCUAGAGUUUUAGCUAGCUCAGAACAACCCAGCUAUACCAUGGGUAUAGCGUUCAGCUCCAACUCAGAGAUUAUUAGGAUCCUGUUCCACCUAAGAAUUGUGAUGCGGAAAAGGUGCAGGAAUUGGAAAGAAGAAUAUUCCAAUUAAAACUAGGAAGUGUAGACUACAAAGAGAGACUGUGAAAUGGUGAUGAGGAGUAGAGGAAAGACAAGCAGAGACUGUCAAACAAGCAGCAGGAAUGCAAAGAGAUGGAGAUUUUAAUAAGAAAAUACAUAAUCACUAAAGCUAGUCAGAAACUAUUAUAGUUUUCUCUGGAAACACUUCUACAGCAUUGUGAAUUACUGGGAGUUUGAGUUUGGGUUUUUUUCCUUAGAGACUUUCUUCAAACACAGAAAUGUUUUCAGUACAAACAGGGAAAAUAUAUUUCUGAGAUUUCCUCUAUUUUUUU